rnacentral:lncRNA from 1 species
AAUGAGAAUAAAGGAGAAUAGGUUUUGGUGAUUCUGAGACAAUAGUUCGUUAUCAAUAAAAUGUCACAAUAUAAUUUGAUUUUGCUGCUGGGGGACAAGGAGAACCGCAGCUCCGCUAAAACCAUUGACAACUAUAUUCUGUUUUCAACGCAUUGUUAAGUAAAUGUUAACUAUUUGGUUGUAAUAGUAUCAUGUCUUGAAGAACGAAGUCAGAACUACACAUUUCUGAUUAUUCCCCAUUUAGCUCCAUCAGAGUUUUACAGCAAUCAGUAAACAUCAAUUGAUCAUGUUUUUUCAGAUAUGUGAAGGUAUCCAGAUUCAUUUGGUAUGUAGCUAGUUAGCUAAAGCAAACAACAUGUGUCAUUUAGCCUGUUUCAUCAGAGAUUAGGGUUUUGGAAAGAGUUUUACAUUGUCAGUCAGAAUACUGUCAUCACCACUAUAGAUGGCAAGCAAAUCAAACAAUAUUUGGAUAUAGCCAUCUAGUUUAUCCCCUGAAAGUUAGCUUGUUAACUAGCCAUAUUGCCGCGAUCUGUUGUUAGCUAGCUAGCCAAUUUGACGUGGUCCAUCAAUAUCAUGUCUGUCAGCAGCAAUUGGGAUUAAACACUCUUAUAAAACAAUGUUGAAAAGGGGAUAAUGUUAGCUAACUUUGCUAGGUAGGCCUAUGUUGGUUGGAGAAAAAAGUACACUAUGUCUACUUACCACUAUGUUUAGCCAACUGUACCAAGUUUCUACCGGUAGCUUGCAAAGUAAACAUUAUCAGCUAACAGUGACGUUACAUUGGCAUAUGCGCCAUUCUGCUGCUUUGACAGCCAGACCCCAGAAAGGAUGGGAAAUUAACCUAAACCACUCAUACUGGUCAGACAUAGUUAUUUUAUAUCACUCAAAUAUCCAAUUAAUGGUGGUCAAUAUUGAGAGAUAUCGUGAGGCUACCCUGACGUAGUUAAAAAUACAUGAUCAAUUGAUGUUUAUUGAUCAUUUAAAAACAUGCAGUUACUUGCUGUAUAACUCUGAUGAUAGAGCUAAAUGUGCUAAAUUGUUUUGCAUGGAAUAGUCUAAAAUGUGUAGUUCUGACUAUGCUCUUCAAGAUGAGAUAUUACAACCAAAUAGUUAACAUUCCCUUAACAAUCCCUUGCAAACGGCACACAGUUGUCAAUGGUUUUAGUGGAGCUGCGGGUCUCCUUGCCCCUCAGCAGGCUAAUCGAACGCGCUGCACCUUUAUUGAGACGUUUUGUUGAUAACGACCUAUAAGGCCUCAGACUGAGAAUGUCCCAGUGUUCUAACUCUCUCAGCCAGUGAGAAGACACUGCUGCUGCUCACACUGCCAGACGGAACUGGACCAACCCGGGCUGAACUGGACCAGACCGAACAAGACCACACCAGACAGAGCCAGCUCCCCUCCCCCAGGGAAUAGGGUGCCAUUUACUCCCAGUAGACCCUCUAUGAAGUAUUUAGGUCAACAGUAAUAACAGAGCUAUGCUUGUAGAUUUAUUAUAUUACAACUGUGACAUUUUGAUAAUAUGAAAAUCAUUACUUUUG